rnacentral:rRNA from 1 species
GGUUAAGCGACUAAGCGUACACGGUGGAUGCCCUGGCAGUCAGAGGCGAUGAAGGACGUGCUAAUCUGCGAUAAGCGUCGGUAAGGUGAUAUGAACCGUUAUAACCGGCGAUUUCCGAAUGGGGAAACCCAGUGUGUUUCGACACACUAUCAUUAACUGAAUCCAUAGGUUAAUGAGGCGAACCGGGGGAACUGAAACAUCUAAGUACCCCGAGGAAAAGAAAUCAACCGAGAUUCCCCCAGUAGCGGCGAGCGAACGGGGAGCAGCCCAGAGCCUGAAUCAGUGUGUGUGUUAGUGGAAGCGUCUGGAAAGGCGCGCGAUACAGGGUGACAGCCCCGUACACAAAAAUGCACAUGCUGUGAGCUCGAUGAGUAGGGCGGGACACGUGGUAUCCUGUCUGAAUAUGGGGGGACCAUCCUCCAAGGCUAAAUACUCCUGACUGACCGAUAGUGAACCAGUACCGUGAGGGAAAGGCGAAAAGAACCCCGGCGAGGGGAGUGAAAAAGAACCUGAAACCGUGUACGUACAAGCAGUGGGAGCACGCUUAGGCGUGUGACUGCGUACCUUUUGUAUAAUGGGUCAGCGACUUAUAUUCUGUAGCAAGGUUAACCGAAUAGGGGAGCCGAAGGGAAACCGAGUCUUAACUGGGCGUUAAGUUGCAGGGUAUAGACCCGAAACCCGGUGAUCUAGCCAUGGGCAGGUUGAAGGUUGGGUAACACUAACUGGAGGACCGAACCGACUAAUGUUGAAAAAUUAGCGGAUGACUUGUGGCUGGGGGUGAAAGGCCAAUCAAACCGGGAGAUAGCUGGUUCUCCCCGAAAGCUAUUUAGGUAGCGCCUCGUGAAUUCAUCUCCGGGGGUAGAGCACUGUUUCGGCAAGGGGGUCAUCCCGACUUACCAACCCGAUGCAAACUGCGAAUACCGGAGAAUGUUAUCACGGGAGACACACGGCGGGUGCUAACGUCCGUCGUGAAGAGGGAAACAACCCAGACCGCCAGCUAAGGUCCCAAAGUCAUGGUUAAGUGGGAAACGAUGUGGGAAGGCCCAGACAGCCAGGAUGUUGGCUUAGAAGCAGCCAUCAUUUAAAGAAAGCGUAAUAGCUCACUGGUCGAGUCGGCCUGCGCGGAAGAUGUAACGGGGCUAAACCAUGCACCGAAGCUGCGGCAGCGACGCUUAUGCGUUGUUGGGUAGGGGAGCGUUCUGUAAGCCUGUGAAGGUGUGCUGUGAGGCAUGCUGGAGGUAUCAGAAGUGCGAAUGCUGACAUAAGUAACGAUAAAGCGGGUGAAAAGCCCGCUCGCCGGAAGACCAAGGGUUCCUGUCCAACGUUAAUCGGGGCAGGGUGAGUCGACCCCUAAGGCGAGGCCGAAAGGCGUAGUCGAUGGGAAACAGGUUAAUAUUCCUGUACUUGGUGUUACUGCGAAGGGGGGACGGAGAAGGCUAUGUUGGCCGGGCGACGGUUGUCCCGGUUUAAGCGUGUAGGCUGGUUUUCCAGGCAAAUCCGGAAAAUCAAGGCUGAGGCGUGAUGACGAGGCACUACGGUGCUGAAGCAACAAAUGCCCUGCUUCCAGGAAAAGCCUCUAAGCAUCAGGUAACAUCAAAUCGUACCCCAAACCGACACAGGUGGUCAGGUAGAGAAUACCAAGGCGCUUGAGAGAACUCGGGUGAAGGAACUAGGCAAAAUGGUGCCGUAACUUCGGGAGAAGGCACGCUGAUAUGUAGGUGAAGUCCCUCGCGGAUGGAGCUGAAAUCAGUCGAAGAUACCAGCUGGCUGCAACUGUUUAUUAAAAACACAGCACUGUGCAAACACGAAAGUGGACGUAUACGGUGUGACGCCUGCCCGGUGCCGGAAGGUUAAUUGAUGGGGUUAGCCGCAAGGCGAAGCUCUUGAUCGAAGCCCCGGUAAACGGCGGCCGUAACUAUAACGGUCCUAAGGUAGCGAAAUUCCUUGUCGGGUAAGUUCCGACCUGCACGAAUGGCGUAAUGAUGGCCAGGCUGUCUCCACCCGAGACUCAGUGAAAUUGAACUCGCUGUGAAGAUGCAGUGUACCCGCGGCAAGACGGAAAGACCCCGUGAACCUUUACUAUAGCUUGACACUGAACAUUGAGCCUUGAUGUGUAGGAUAGGUGGGAGGCUUAGAAGUGUGGACGCCAGUCUGCAUGGAGCCGACCUUGAAAUACCACCCUUUAAUGUUUGAUGUUCUAACGUUGACCCGUAAUCCGGGUUGCGGACAGUGUCUGGUGGGUAGUUUGACUGGGGCGGUCUCCUCCUAAAGAGUAACGGAGGAGCACGAAGGUUGGCUAAUCCUGGUCGGACAUCAGGAGGUUAGUGCAAUGGCAUAAGCCAGCUUGACUGCGAGCGUGACGGCGCGAGCAGGUGCGAAAGCAGGUCAUAGUGAUCCGGUGGUUCUGAAUGGAAGGGCCAUCGCUCAACGGAUAAAAGGUACUCCGGGGAUAACAGGCUGAUACCGCCCAAGAGUUCAUAUCGACGGCGGUGUUUGGCACCUCGAUGUCGGCUCAUCACAUCCUGGGGCUGAAGUAGGUCCCAAGGGUAUGGCUGUUCGCCAUUUAAAGUGGUACGCGAGCUGGGUUUAGAACGUCGUGAGACAGUUCGGUCCCUAUCUGUCGUGGGCGCUGGAGAACUGAGGGGGGCUGCUCCUAGUACGAGAGGACCGGAGUGGACGCAUCACUGGUGUUCGGGUUGUCAUGCCAAUGGCACUGCCCGGUAGCUAAAUGCGGAAGAGAUAAGUGCUGAAAGCAUCUAAGCACGAAACUUGCCCCGAGAUGAGUUCUCCCUGACUCCUUGAGAGUCCUGAAGGAACGUUGAAGACGACGACGUUGAUAGGCCGGGUGUGUAAGCGCAGCGAUGCGUUGAGCUAACCGGUACUAAUGAACCGUGAGGCUUAACCUU